CCUAUCCCUUUGACUGGACCCUAAACCUACUUUUUUAAAAAAAGAGAAAGAGAUCCAGAAAGAGACGGACCCACUUUAGGCAUUUCAGACUUCCCCCUGGAACCAAAUACCCCAUUGGCCUUCCUCGCUGUUACCAGGAGGGGAAUGGGUAGUUUGCACCUCACCCCCCCUCCAGGCUCUCCCGCCUUUGGGACAUUUUGGGUGCCACUUAGGAGAGCGAGAACUAUGGAGUGUGUGUGGCUCAGGGUGGGGCCACAGGUUGGGAGUGGGUAGGGCCUAUUGUCUCCCUGGGCACCAGUCCACAGCCACAGGCAGGCUUAGAGAAGGAGAGACAAAGGAGAAAAUGGAAGAGCACAAAGGCAGCAAGGAAUGAAAGGAAAACUGCGGAAGAAAAGCCCACGUGGGAGAGAGAUCUGGAGCUGACCGGGGAGCAGGUGAGAGUCUGAAUUGCCCUCAUUUCCCUUCCUGCUCAGCCUGGUGGGGAAGACGCUGGGAAGGGGAACACGGCGUCCCUGCCCUCCUGCUACAAUUAGCCGAGCCUUUCAUUCUCCCUCUACAAAGAGGAGAGAGCAAAUCAAAAGAAGAUAAAAGUGCACGUCCCACAAAAGACAUCAAGAUGAGGGGGAAGGAAGGGAGGGUGGUGGGAAAGAGAGGCAGAGGCAGAGAGAAAGCCCUGCGGCCCAAACAAAAGCCUAAACCCAGCCGAUCCCAAGGAUCAGACAGUGGAGACACAAGGACAGGAAGAGAGCAGGCUGCGUGGGGAUCAGCAGCCCUGUCAAGCCAAGGAGGAGAGGAAAUGAAGGAAGAUAAAAUACCUAUGUGAAUUAUGUGAAUGGCCAGGGAAGAGGGUGGGGAGGGACCCCAGAUGGAGUCAGGACAAAAGCAUGAAAAGACAAGAUUGCCACCAUCCAUGAGCUACUCCACCCCAGGGAAAGCAAAGAGGCACUGGAGAUAAAGGCUGAGAGAGAAAGGUAGAAAGGGAGGGAGCUCAGCGCUGGUGGCAGGACUGAAAGCGUGGGGGGACAAUGGUGUGCAUUACCCAUGGAGGUCAACCGAGGUGAAGAGGUAAUCAGGGUCCUGGCCUGUAUUUGCUGCAAGAAAUCCUACCUGGUUGUAUGUCUUGCAUUUGAAUCAUAAC
rnacentral:lncRNA from 1 species